GCAUAUCAAUAAGCGGAGGAAAAAGAAACCAACAGGGAUUGCCUCAGUAACGGCGAGUGAAGCGGCAACAGCCCAGAUUUGAAAUCCGGCUCUUGAGCCCGACUUGUAAUCUGCAGAUGAGUCUUUUGGUAAAGCGCCGUCCAAGUUCCCUGGAACGGGACGCCGGAGAGGGUGAGAGCCCCGUACCGACGUGCGCCUAGCCUUUGCAAAGCUCAUUCGAAGAGUCGAGUAGUUUGGAAAUGCUGCUCUAAUUGUGGGGUAAAUCUCCCAUAAGGCUAAAUACUGGCCAGAGACCGAUAGCGCACAAGUAGCGUGAGCGAAAGAUGAAAAGAGCCUUGAACAAGGGCGUCAAAAAGCAUGUGAAAUUGUUAUGGGGGAAGCGCUCAAUGCCAGACGUGGCGGCGGCUGGUUACCCGGCGUUCUUCGCCGGCGCACUCGGUCGUCUGCCAGGCCAGCAUCAGUUCGGCCCGGGGCUUACUGCCGCUCGGAACGUGGCUCUUCGGAGUGUUAUAGCCUUGCGGUGACGUCCUGGACCGGACUGAGGAACGCGCAUCUGCCCGGAUGCUGGCUUAAUGGCUUUUAGCGACCCGUCUUGAAACACGGACCAAGGAGUUGACCUAGUAUGCGAGUGUUUGGGUGUAAAGCCCUCACGCGCAGUGAAAGCGAACGCAGGUGGGAGCUUCGGCGCACCAUCGACCGAUCCUGAAGUUUACGGAUGGAUUUGAGUAGGAGCAUACUGGGUCUGACCCGAAAGAAGGUGAACUAUGCAUGAAUAGGGUGAAGCCAGAGGAAACUCUGGUGGAGGCUCGCAGCGGUUCUGACGUGCAAAUCGAUCGUCAAAUUUGUGCAUGGGGGCGAAAGACCAAUCGAACCUUCUAGUAGCUGGUUCCUGCCGAA
rnacentral:rRNA from 1 species